CAUGGAGCAGGGAGCGAGGGAGCCCGGGGCGGGCCGGGGGCCGAGGCUGCCCCUCUCCCCGGCUGCGCCCUGCCUGCUCCGGGCGGGCGGGCAGCGCACGGUUGCCAGCUGCGCGCACAGGCCGCCCUGGCCCCCGCCGCGACUGCCCCUCGCGGGCAGGGGACGAGCCGCUUCAACGGCGGAGCGACGGCAGUAGCAUCUUCCUUCCUCCUCCUCCUCGCCGCCUCCCGCCGCUGCCAACGCCGGCUCCGCUCCCCCCCGGCUCCUUCGCCUCACGUACGGGACGACCGGCCGGACCGCUUCAGGACGGCCCCGACGCUGCAGCGCGAGCAGGAGGUGGGAAGGAGGCGGCUAGAGGGGAGGGGAGAGCGCAAGGUCCGGCGGCAACUGUGAGAGAACCUGCGAAAGCUACAAACAUGUCCGCCUUCCUGUUUGAACACUUGGGGGGGGGGGAAGGCUGGGAGUGAGGCGCAGCGCGCAUGCGCCGACCACACGGCUCUUGACGGGCGGGGAGGGGAAGGAGGCAGAAGACACACGCAGCGGUGUGCGCAGGAGCAGACAGGAGAGCCCGAGAAAACUGCCAUUUCAGCCGCUCCCUGUGAAAGCUGCCGGCAUCCGCGAGGACGGUCGCUUCCCGCCGCGGCUCCGCGGCUGCUCCCGCAGAAGAGAGCUGCCGCUAACUUUGACGUCGAGCUGCUACCGGAAACAGCGGCUGCGGGGUUUCUCCGCCGCUGGGUCCGGCUCUGCCUUGCGCACCGGGCGCGCGGUGCGGGAGGCAGCGAUGUGCUCGCUGCACGUACGCUGCGAGAAAGGGGCAGGUGGCUCUGCCGGGGGAAGCAGCGUUCGCUUUUCUGAAGGCAGUCCAGGGUAUGCGGGUCUGUGUUCUGCCAAGAGCCGCGAGUGAGGAAGCGCGCCUAACUCGGGAAGAACAGAGAAAGGAUAGCUGCCUGGAUUUUUGUCUUUGUUUUUGAAUGAGAGGUGUGUACAGUUACGGCAAAAAUACAAGCUACAACAACGUUACGCUAAUGUUUACUUUCACUCAUUUCAUGAUGGCCAUUGCCACAGCUUUUUGAUUCAGAGCGUUUGGUUGUUCUUGGAAAUGCAGAUGUUCCAUUUCAACAACCACAGUCCAAAGAGAACGUAUCAUGUACUCUGCAAACUACUGUGUGCACGCUUGUGAUCAUUUCAUAUACGAUGCAGCAAAUAAAAUACAAAUACAAUGCUUCUUGCA
rnacentral:lncRNA from 1 species